rnacentral:lncRNA from 1 species
UCAUCAUCAUUUAAACCAAAACCUUUUUUUUUUUAAUUUCAUUUUCAGCCCCUAUUUUUUUAAGAAAACAGAAAGCUUUUUGCUUUCUCUCCUUCCCCUUUUCUCCCCUAUUUCUCUCUUUUUGGCUAGGGCUUCAUAUACCCAUCAUCGUUGCCGUCCGACCACCGCACCACCACCGUAUUCGGUGGCCAGCGAUGCGCCAAAAUGGGCCCUUAGCCUCAUCUUGAAACACCCUAGAGAAACCAGCCCUCAAAACCCGAAAAAAAAGAGUUGAAUAGAAAUGGUUCUCAACCCCUUCGGGUUCGAUUUUGACAACGGAGGAGGACCCUCCGGCACUGCAACCGUGGGAAACCAGUGAGUCUCUUCUUCUCCCUUUUUGUUUAUGUUUCUAUUUAAAAUCGUUUUUGGUAAAGAAAUGAAAAAUACAAAUAAAAAUGUAAAUCGAAAGAAAACAAGAAAAGUAAAUCGAAAUCAACCUUUGCCUUUGCUUCUAUUCUGUUUUUUUUUUAAUGUUCGUAACCGUUUACAAAGAAAAGAUAUUGGCUUUUAAAGCCAAUCUAAAAACUGUUGGUUUCAUAGUUUUUGUUAUUUUGCCAUUUAUUUCUCUGUCGAUCGCGUGCCUUCUUGCUGUUAUUUUUUGAUUUGGUUGCAGGUGUUGCGACGCGUGGAAGGGGCAAUGUUCAGGGGCGUGGUGGCUGAGGGGAGGCCAAAAGUCGAGGGGGAGUGGCGGCUGAACUUUGGUGGCUAGGGUUAGGGUGACUGCUGAAAAAAAUUAAAGAUAGUUGGCUAGGGUUUAGUUUAUUUCGGGCCUGGUAAUUGGGUUUGAGUUUGGGUCUGAUUUUGUAAUGGACUUUAAUUAUUUGGACUUUUAAAUCUGUUUAUUUGAGAUUUAUUUUUGUAAUUGGGUUAGACCAAAAUUGGCUAUUACACCACAGAUUUGCCAUCGUUCUUUUCAUAGCUGGAAAGUGAAAAAUAAUUGCCGUUAAAAAAUAACCUACUAAUUGAAAUUCACCCCUUUCAUUACCCAAGCCAGGAUCUAAAUGGAUCUGCAAAAUUUCAUUUUUCUUCUUCAUUGAGUGACAGAUCUGCUAACUCGUUUUCCAUUGAUGCAGGUUAAUGGUGGCGUGAUGAAACACAGACUUGCAAAAAGAUGAAAAUAUGGGACAAAAAAGACAAGAAAAACAAAUAAGACCUAAACGAUCAUGCCAGCGGCGGCAGACUUAAGCUUGCUAGGGUAGCAGACGAAAAACUAUAGCUUUUAAAUAUAUGAUGAAUUUAAAAGACUAAAUUUAAUCCAUAUUCUAUUAAAUAAAUUAAAUAAAUUCAAAUUUUAACAAAAUUAAUAUUUAUUAUUUAAAAAAUGGUUUUUAGUCCAUUUUAACUCUAUUUAGAUUGCAUAUAUAAACCUAAAACAAACGGAUAAAAUAAAGAGAAACAGAUGGCAUUAAUUAAUAUCCACAAUAAUUGCAUUUUUUUAUAAAGC